ensembl:snoRNA
UAGAGCGAUGGUGACUACUGGUGGCCUGUGAGUCACAUACAGUGAAUACUUGUGUGUCUGGCGCUCUGAGGUCCAA